rnacentral:rRNA from 1 species
UACGUAGGGGGCAAGCGUUGUCCGGAUUUAUUGGGCGUAAAGAGCGUGUAGGCGGCCAAGCAGGUCCGCUGUGAAAACUCGAGGCUCAACCUCGAGACGUCGGUGGAAACCGUUUGGCUAGAGUCCGGAAGAGGAGAGUGGAAUUCCCGGUGUAGCGGUGAAAUGCGCAGAUAUCAGGAGGAACACCGAUGGCGAAGGCAGAUCUCUGGGCCGUAACUGACGCUGAGGAGCGAAAGCAUGGGGAGCGAACAGG